UAAAAAUUCAAAUUAUUCUGUUUUGAAACUUUUACUAUAUAUAGGACCAAUUACUUUUGGUACCCCAUGUCGCCAAAAGUACACAAAAUUAGUGUAUCAUCAUUGAAAAAUCAAUUGUUCCUUUUGGCUCCUUAGCAGAAAGUGCAUCAGAGGUAAGACACAAACUUUUCAAGGCUGACCGAAAAAAUCAUGCCAGAAAAUGUAGCCGGAUUGACAAUAUGUCAGAUGUCUUUCACGGAGCUAUGGAUUCGUCUGAUCCUUUACUGUGUAGUUCUUGGUUCACAAAAAUCAACAGGAUGCCUCUGCCAGCAGAGGUUGUCGAUCUUUUGGAUUCGCCAAUCAUAUCCCCAGGUGUUUUCCACAAAGACGGAAGUACAUCCCAAAACUCGUGCGCAGAACACACAGAUGAAGAAAAUGGCAACGAUGAUGCAGGUGACACUUUUGAAAUCGAAUUAGAGGAAGAGGUACCAGACGAUAUUGAAAACUAAAAUACAAGGAAAAGAUGUUUGUUAAAUUUAACAAUGGAUUCUAAAUACGUAACAGAUUUUAAUUUUAUUUUUCUAUAAUGUAAUACCAAAUGUGAUCCAAAUUAUAAUUUGUAAUAAUUUCUUAAAUAAAAGUGCAUUUUUAACCACUGUGCGAUACGCAA